rnacentral:lncRNA from 1 species
AGUCAAGACAGCUACUGCUGUGCCAGAGGGGGUGUGUUUGUUUCCUAGCAUUCACAUGGCAGCUCACAGCCAUCUAACUCCAGUUCUAGGAAUCCAUUGCUUUUGGCCUCCAUGGGCUCCUGCACAUGUAUGUACAUAAGCUUACUCGGGCAAACGGGCAAAUGUAAGCAAAUAAGUCUUCUUAAAGAAAAGCAGAAUUUAGUCUGAUGUAAAAUUUUCAGCUCUCUGCUCAUUUUCCUAUGGUUCUGAAGGCUAUGGGACUAAGGCAAGGCCUGACUGUUGGGCUCUGGUCAGGGGCCCUUCUGCGCUACUGUUGCUUGUCCUCGGCCUCUCUUCCUUUUCCUACAGCCUCUGUGCUGCCAGGCCCUCACUCUGCAGCUAUGUCCAGCUUAACCCCUUCCAGAAACUCUGUCUCUAGGCAGUUGGCCUGGACAGGGCUUCAGCAAAAGAUUCUGGGCACAAAACAUCCUGCAGUGCUGGAGACUGCUGCUGCUUUCUCCUUCCUCUUCUUCCUCCUCUUCCUCCUCUUCUUUUUAAUAAAUAGUUUAUUUAUUUUAUGUGC